CAGCAGCCGCGGGAAUACGAGGGGGGCAAGCGUUGUUCGGAAUUAUUGGGCGUAAAGGGUGCGUAGGCGGCCCCGCAAGUCUCAUGUGAAAUCUUCAGGCUCAACUUGAAGUCUGCAUGGGAAACUGCGGGGCUGGAGUAUGGGAGAGGUGAGUGGAAUUCCUGGUGUAGCGGUGAAAUGCGUAGAUAUCAGGAGGAACACCUGUGGCGAAAGCGGCUCACUGGACCAUAACUGACGCUGAGGCACGAAAGCUAGGGGAGCAAACAGGAUUAGAUACCCCCGUAGUCCCUGUCUCUUAUAC
rnacentral:rRNA from 1 species